CAGUAGCCGCGGGAAUACGAAGGGGGCUAGCGUUGUUCGGAUUUACUGGGCGUAAAGGGCGCGCAGGCGGACUGAUAAGUCAGGGGUGAAAUCCCAAGGCUCAACCUUGGAACUGCCUUUGAUACUGUUUGUCUUGAGUUCGAGAGAGGUAAGUGGAACUGCGAGUGUAGAGGUGAAAUUCGUAGAUAUUCGCAAGAACACCAGUGGCGAAGGCGGCUUACUGGCUCGAAACUGACGCUGAGGCGCGAAAGCGUGGGGAGCAAACAGGAUUAGAUACCCCUGUAGUCCCUGUCUCUUAUAC
rnacentral:rRNA from 1 species